rnacentral:lncRNA from 1 species
AUGCUCCUAUAUUGGGUUUUAAUAGCCUCACAGAUGGCCAUUUUUUUACUUACACAGGAGGCUAGAAAUCAAAAUUUGGCUCUACAGACCCAUGAUAUUCCCUCUCUGAUCUACUUCUCUGGACAUCUGGGUUUCCUGUGGAUUGUGUUCAAUCAGCAAUGUUGAGGUACAGAAGAGAAGAGGCAGAGAGCUUUCAUAAAGAGAAGAUGCAAACUGUGUGUUCAUUGAAGAAUGAAAAUAUAUAUCCAACCCUUCUCCAAAAGGCCUCAGUGACUUUUGCAACAUCCUCAACUUCAUUUAUCUAUAGGACGGCUUUUGAUAGCUUUAUGUAAGCUUUUUAAAGUUCAGCCAAGCCAGCUGCGUGAUCAACACAAAGACAAUAGCUCCCACACACAGGGUUACAUGGAUUAAAGAACCCGAUCCAUCAGUAAACCUGCCAGAUGGCAGUGGAAGAAAGCUUGUAACUCUCUCACUUUCAUUUCAACAGCAGCAAACAAUGUUCAAUGUUUAAAAUAAACUCUUCCAGAUGAGCUAAAGAUAAACUCUGAGGUGGGUGGACUCUAUCUUGCUAGGCUGCAGCUCUGAAGUGUUUGAUUACAUUAACACAAAACCCCUGGGUAGAACCCACUUCUGUCAACAGAAUGCCUAGACUCAAACACCUACUACACGAAGCCAUUUCCUGUGCUUUCAUGGGUUGGUGGCAGAAACUCGCUUUGCUUUUUUCACAAACUAAUAAUGAUUAUAUAUUUUUCUGUGCUCAAUAUUUCCUCAAACCGUGUGGAUAACUUCAAGAUAUAACUAAAAUGCCAACAUAUAUGUAUGUCUGCACAGAUAAAAUAUUUUGAAUCUGUUUACAACUUAAAAUUCUACUAUUUAUUCACCUUACUAUUCUCAUAGUAGCAAAAGCGGGG